rnacentral:rRNA from 1 species
GAUGAACGCUGGCGGCGUGCUUAACACAUGCAAGUCGAACGAUGAAGCCCAGCUUGCUGGGUGGAUUAGUGGCGAACGGGUGAGUAACACGUGAGUAACCUGCCCUUGACUCUGGGAUAAGCCUGGGAACUGGGUCUAAUACUGGAUAUGACUUCUCAUCGCAUGGUGGGGGGUGGAAAGAUUUAUUGGUCUUGGAUGGACUCGCGGCCUAUCAGCUUGUUGGUGAGGUAAUGGCUCACCAAGGCGACGACGGGUAGCCGGCCUGAGAGGGUGACCGGCCACACUGGGACUGAGACACGGCCCAGACUCCUACGGGAGGCAGCAGUGGGGAAUAUUGCACAAUGGGCGCAAGCCUGAUGCAGCGACGCCGCGUGAGGGAUGACGGCCUUCGGGUUGUAAACCUCUUUCAGUAGGGAAGAAGCGAGAGUGACGGUACCUGCAGAAGAAGCGCCGGCUAACUACGUG